rnacentral:rRNA from 1 species
UACGUAGGGGGCAAGCGUUGUCCGGAAUCAUUGGGCGUAAAGAGCGUGUAGGUGGCUCGGUAAGUCCGCUGUGAAAGUCCAGGGCUCAACCCUGGAAUGCCGGUGGAAACUGUCGAGCUCGAGUCCGGAAGAGGCGAGUGGAAUUCCUGGUGUAGCGGUGAAAUGCGCAGAUAUCAGGAAGAACACCCGUGGCGAAGGCGGCUCUCUGGAACGCAACUGACGCUGAGACGCGAAAGCGUGGGGAGCAAACAGG